AUUUAUUAUCGAGCUUCAUCGUAAAAUAAAGUGAGCUUAUUCUCUCUCGAUUAAUUUAAUAUUCAUAUGGCUCCGAUCCGAGCUCAAUUGAUGACGAAUUGUGAAACAUUACGAGGUGCGAUACCAGGUACCACUUGGUACAACUG
ensembl:ncRNA F10E9.14 ncRNA